AUGCUGCGCAACGCGAGCACCAUCGGCGACGGCGUACUCCUCAUCGCCGCGCUCUGCUUCCACUCCGUCUUCGAAGGCAUCGCCAUUGGAGUCGCCGAGACGGAAGCCGACGCGUGGAAGGCGCUGUGGACCAUCAGCCUGCACAAGAUCUUCGCCGCGAUCGCCAUGGGCAUCGCGCUGCUCCGGAUGCUCCCCGAUCGCCCCCUCCUCUCCUGCUUCGGCUACGCCUUCGCCUUCGCCGUCUCCAGCCCCAUCGGCGUCGGCGUCGGCAUACUCGUCGACGCCACCACGGAGGGCCGGGUGGCCGACUGGAUCUAUGCCAUCUCCAUGGGCCUCGCCACGGGCAUCUUUGUCUACGUCUCCAUCAACCACCUCCUCGCCAAGGGGUACAUGCUACAGAGGCCCGUCGCCGCCGACACGCCCGUCGGCCGGUGGCUCUCCGUCGUGCUUGGCGUCGGUGUCAUCGCAGUCGUCAUGAUAUGGAACGCCUGA
rnacentral:rRNA from 1 species